rnacentral:sRNA from 1 species
AUGGGAGACGACGCACCCGUAAUAGUUAUUCCGACAAACUAUGGUCGUAUUGAAGAAUUCAAUGAUAAAGGCGAUUGGAUAGAGUAUACGGAAAGACUCGAUCACUAUUUCGAGGCCAACGAAAUAAAUAAUGCUGACAAGAAAAGAGCAAUAUUGUUGAGUGCCUGUGGUCAAAGGACAUAUAAAUUAAUCAGGACUUUAUGUGCACCUACUAAACCGAAAGAUAAAACGUUUAAGGACAUAGUGGAUUUAGUUAAAACUCAUCAGCAUCCAAAACCGUCUUCAAUUGUAGAAAGAUGCAGAUUCAAUAGCAGAGUCAGACAUCCAGACGAGUCAGUGAGUCAGUUCGUGGCUGAACUCAGGAGUCUAUCAGAACAUUGUGACUAUAAAGAUACACUUGAUCACAUGUUAAGAGACAGGCUCGUGUGUGGAAUUAAAGAUGAUAGGAUUCAGCGACGUUUAUUAGCAGAGACCGACCUAACAUUUAAGAGGGCGAUGGAUAUUUCGACGGCAAUGGAAAUGGCUGCUAAAAAUGCACAGGAUAUCCAGGCUAGUGGAAUACUUCAAAAUUCCGUGAAUAAAGUAACUAAAGGGAAGCCAAGGAGCAACUACAGUCAAAACAGGGAACAUGAACAAUCUGAUUGUUACAGAUGUGGAGGUAACCACAAAGCCGCAGAAUGUAGAUUUAGAGAUGCCAAAUGUCACAUAUGCCAAAAGAAAGGACAUAUUGCAAAAAAAUGCAGGAAUAGGGAUGAUCGUAAUCCACAAUUUCAAAGAAGUAAUGCAAAUUCUGGAUCAAGAUUUUACAAAAAGCAAGCACACUUCGUUGAGCAGGAUGCCAGUGAAAAUUCUGGAAGCGAAAGUGAAAACGAAGUAUAUUCGGUUUUUAACUUGGGAUAUAGCUGCGAUGCAUAUAAAGUUGAUAUACAAGUGAAUAAUAAAAUCAUUAUCAUGGAAAUAGAUACAGGAGCCUCCGUUUCAAUAAUGAGUGAGGAGACAUAUAAAGAAUUUGAAUCGAAAUUCAAGUUAGAGCCGACUUCAGUGAAACUUCGAACGUAUCUUGGGGAUUCCAUUCCUGUGUUAGGACGUGCAACCGUAAACGUAACAUAUGGGAAGGAAAAUAAUAAACUACCGUUAUUUGUGGUGAAACGGAAAGGUCCGAACUUAUUAGGUCGAGAUUGGAUAAGCAAGAUUCAACUCAACUGGAAGGAAAUUUUUGCAGUACACGUAUUAAAAGAUCAACCAGGUUUGGAGGAGACAUUAUCUACUUACAACGACGUUUUCAAGGAUGAAUUGGGGGCUAUAAAGGGAGUUAAAGCAAAGAUCUAUGUCGAUGAAAAUGCAACACCAAAGUAUUUCAAGGCCCGCCCAUUACCAUAUGCGUUGAAAGAAAAGGUAGAACUAGAGUUAGAAGGUUUGGAAAAGAGAGGACAAAUAAGUAGAGUCGAGUUUUCGGAAUGGGCCGCACCUAUAGUACCUAUUGUGAAAGAAAAUGGAUCUAUAAGAAUAUGCGGAGAUUAUAAAAUAACAGUAAAUAGAGUGUCAAAGUUGGAUAACUAUCCAAUACCGAAAACUGAGGAUUUAUACGCCACGUUGGCAGGAGGGGACGAAUAUACAAAACUGGAUUUAGCUCAAGCUUAUCAACAGAUUGAAUUGGAGGAGAAUUCUAAACAAUAUACCACAAUAAACACGCACAAGGGUUUGUUUCAAUAUCACCGUCUACCAUUUGGAGUUUCUUCAAGUGCUGGGAUUUUUCAACGAACAUUAGAGAACAUUAUACAGGGGAUUCCUAAUGUACUUGUCCGCGUGGAUGAUAUUUUAAUCACCGGUAAGGACAGGAACGAACAGUUGAAAACAUUACAUGAAGUGCUCAGUUGUUUCCAGAAGGCAGGUGUAAGAUUGAAUAAACAAAAGUGUACAUUUUUAGCACCGGCAGUUAUUUAUCUUGGAUUUAAAAUCAACAAACAAGGUAUUUUUCCAGUGGAAAGUAAAGUCAAGGCAAUAUCUAAAGCCCCUUGUCCAACCAACGUAACAGAACUGAAGGCCUACUUAGGUAUGUUGAAUUAUUACAACCGAUUUCUACCAAAUUUGUGCAGUGCUUAGCCACAAGACAGAACAUGGAGAUCAACCGAUAGCUUUCACAUCGAGAACUUUGACAUCUGCCUAAAAACAUUAUUCCGUGCUCGAGAAAGAAAGUUUGGCAAUAAUUUUCGGAAUUAAGAAAUUCCAUCAGUAUUUGUAUGGAAACUCAGUGACAAUAUUAACAGACCAUAAACCGAUCAUAGGGUUAUUUCGUGAGGACAGAGCCUUACCCACAAUGGCAGCGUCACGCAUUCAAAGAUGAGCGUUAACUCUUAGUGCGUAUGAGUAUACCAUGGUUUACCGAGAAGGGAGUAAAAACGGGAAUGCUGAUGGACUAAGCAGACUACCGUUAAAAACCAAGGAGUCAAAAACACCCGUUCCCGGAGACACAAUACUAUUGAUGGAACAUUUGGAUAACACACCAGUGAACGCGAAAUUAUCAAGAAAUGGACGCACAAGGACACCGUAUUGUCAGAAGUUCUAAGGUGCAUAUUUAAUGGAUGGCCUAGUAAAAGUCAGAACGAGGAGAUACAGCCGUAUUUUACUCGUAAAAGUGAGUUGAGCGCUCAGGAUGGCUGCAUAUUAUGGGGAGGAAGGGUCAUCAUUCUGAAACAAGGACGUGACUCCAUGUUAACAGAGCUUCACCAGGGACAUCCGGGUAUAACACGCAUGAAACAGUUAGCAAGGAGUUAUAUCUGGUGACCAGGACUUGACAGUGAUCUGGAAAAAACCGUUAUCAAUUGUCAAAGUUGUCAAGAAAGUAGAAAAUUGCAGGCCGAGGCACCGUUACACCUAUGGGAGUAUCCUAACCGUCCAUGGUCUAGACUUCAAUUAGAUUUUGCAGGACCGUUCAUGAACAAAAUGUUUCUAGUCAUCGUGGAUGCCUAUUCCAAAUGGAUCGACAUACAUAUCAUGAGCUCGACUACAAGCGAAGCUACAGUUGAUAAGCUAAAACAACGUUCGCUACUCAUUGCUUAUGCGACUUGAUCAUAACAGAUAACGGAACCGCUUUCACUAGCAGGGAAUUUGCAGAGUUCAUCCGAGUGAACGGUAUUAAACACAGAACAACCGCACCGUGGCAUCCUGCAAGUAAUGGAUGUGCAGAACGAGCUGUUCAAACUUUUAAAGAGGAAAUGAAGAAGAUUAAAUCAGGAAUAAUUCAAGACAAACUCAAUAGUUUCCUAUUCAACUAUCGAAGGACACCACAAACAACAACAGGAAUAGCACCGUCUGAAUUACUUAUGAAGAGACAGUUACAGUCAAGAUUAAAUCUUGUAUUUCCCAACAUUGAGGAAAAAGUGGUUGAAAAACAAUUCAAACAGAAAAAUUACCACGAUGAAACAGCAAAACACAGAACAAUCAAAGUAGGAGAACUCGUAUUCGCGAGGAAUUUCGUUGUUAACUCCAAACUGAAAUGGAUUAAAGGAACUGUGGUGAAUCAGACAGGACCGUUGUCAUUCAAAAUAGAACUUUCCGAUGAACGGAUUAUACGAUCAUAUCAGAAUUAG